rnacentral:lncRNA from 1 species
CCAUAUUUACGAGUCAUGCGAGCGCUAUAAAACCGAACCAUCACCACGGUUCUAUUCGACAUCCCGACACCCUUCCCCACUCUCGAACAUACCUUCUGAAUAAGCAAACAAGCACCACUCGAAACUCUGUUGAGUCGUGUAACCUGCAACAAGAUAGACGCCGCCGGAAUCCAUUCGGGUUCACAACAUAGUUUGCUCAAUCUUACACCCACGCCGGGACCUCACCACUUGCCGGAGUUACGAAGACGACUCGGAGAUCACACCGGGGACUCGGCUCGACUCGCUACCACCCGUAACCCGCAAUCUUUUACAUUCCGGUAUAUGAUUCCUAAUGAACGUAUGUAAACAAGGAACGUGAAGACGACACCGAAACGCAAAAGCCAUACUUGCUCAGUCGCAGCCACCGGAGAACCAACCUCAUCGGAGAAACUCAUCGGAGAAGUCGAGAACAUCAGAAAGCCUCCACCUCGUUCUUGUUUCGAUUCGGAUAAUUGCUCUCGUUUGUUCACUUGGAUUAUUCUCCAUCUUUACUCGUACGUUACUUACAAGAAAUCGCAACGCAAUCAAUGUUGAUAGACGAAGUUAUCAAGAAAACAAGCUAGGAUGGCUUUAGAUACCCAUUUUAGC